rnacentral:rRNA from 1 species
GAUGAACGCUGGCGGCGUGCUUAAUACAUGCAAGUCGAACGAAUUGAAGAUGUGCUUGCACAUCUGAUGUUAGUGGCGAACGGGUGAGUAAUACAUAGGCAACUUGCCCCAAGGACUGGGAUAACACUUAGAAAUGAGUGCUAAUACCGGAUAGGUAAUACAAAGGCAUCUUAGUAUUAUUAAAGUUGGGUAUCCAACACCAUGGGAUGGGCUUAUGCUGUAUUAGCUAGUUGGUGAGAUAAAAGCCCACCAGGGCGAUGAUACAUAGCUGGUCUGAGAGGAUGAACGGCCACAUUGGGACUGAGACACGGCCCAGGCUCCUACGGGAGGCAGCAGUAAGGAAUUUUCGGCGAUGGAGGAAACUCUUACCGAGCAACGCCGCGUGAGUGAUGAAGGCCUUCGGGUUGUAAAGCUCUGUUGUAAAGGAAGAAUGUAUAGAAAAGGAAAUGUUUCUAUAGUGACGGUACUUUACUAGAAAGUCACGGCUUACUACGUGCCAGCAGCCGCAGUAA